GAUACCGCGCCUGCCGGGAGCCGCCUUCGCCCACGUUGAACUCGGCCUGUCCGCGCCUUGGACCCCGGCCCACACUGGGGUUUCUCUUCCCGAGCUGAGGGCUGGGUUUAUCUUCUGGCAGAUUCACGCGCACCACGGCAGAAGCUGUCCCCCCCAUCCCACCCAUGCAGACAAGAGUGACACCAUUAAGAUUGAGUAUCCCUAAUUUGAAAAUCAGAGAUCCAAAAUCUGAAACAUAUUGAGUGUUGACAUGAUGUUCCAAGGAAAUGCUCAUUGAAGCAUUUCAGAUUUCGGAUUACGGGUGCUGAAUUGGAUCACCAAGAGUACGGUGCCAAGGCCAUCAUGCCCUGUCCACUGCUCUGCAGGGAUGGCCCUGUGCAUGUGUAGUCCUUCAGCUCUUGGCCUUACUGCCCCAGUAAAAACAUUCACUAGUGACCAAUUCCAUCUGUGACCCGGUUGGACUGGAGACUCCUGGAAGGGACCACUUACAGGUGCCCUCUUCCCGUACAGCCAGAAAGAGAAGAAAGGCAGAGCCAAGUCUGGCCAGUGGGGUCUUCACAGACUUCUGGAGGAGGGGCCUGGCCAGUCAGAAGGCCCUCAUCUGGUGCUCACUGGCCAGAACCCUCUGUGGCUCAGGCGGCUACUUGUACCCUUUGAAGAAAGACUACACACACAUUUUUAUAAUCAGAAACUUAGUUUAUUUUGAAUAAACCACUCAACUUUGAGCAGA